GGCGUGAAUCUUCCGCAAUGGACGAAAGUCUGACGGAGCAACGCCGCGUGAACGAUGAAGGCCUUCGGGUCGUAAAGUUCUGUUGUUAGGGAAGAACAAGUGCUAGUUGAAUAAGCUGGCACCUUGACGGUACCUAACCAGAAAGCCACGGCUAACUACGUGCCAGCAGCCGCGGUAAUUAAAAAAA
rnacentral:rRNA from 1 species